rnacentral:rRNA from 1 species
GAUGAACGCUGGCGGCGUGCCUAAUACAUGCAAGUCGAGCGAACGGACGAGACGCUUGCUUCUCUGAUGUUAGCGGCGGACGGGUGAGUAACACGUGGAAAACCCACCUAUAAGACUGGGAUAAUUUCGGGAAACCGGAGCUAAUACCGGAUAAUAUUUUGAACCGCAUGGUUCAAAAGUGAAAGACGGUCUUGCUGUCACUUAUAGAUGGAUCCGCGCUGCAUGAGCUAGUUGGGAAGGUAACGGCUUACCAAGGCAACGAUGCAUAGCCGAGCUGAGAGGGGGGUCGGCCACACUGGAAGUGAGCCAGGGUCCAGACGCCUACGGGAGGCAGCAGUAGGGAAUCGGCCGCAGUGGGGGAAAGCCUGGCGGAGCAACGGCGCGUGAGUUGUGAAGGUCUUGGGAUCGUAAUACUCUGUUAUUAGUGAAGAACAGAUGUGGAAGUAACUGUGCACAUCUUGACGGUACCUAAUCAGGAAGCCACGGCUAACUACGUG